UAAGUAAUAAUCUAAUAAAGAUAGCUGAUUUGCAUUUAGAAAAUAAACUUUAGUUUAAUUCCCAGACUAU
rnacentral:tRNA from 1 species